AUGCUGUGUGGACUAGCCAGACCUUCCUGCGCAGCGCUGUGGAGGAAGUUCUGGCAUUGCGAGACUAAGGUGACUAAGGCAUUCA